GUUAGGUAGUCAUUGUCUAUGGUUUUGAUUUAUGGUUAAUUAAAAAAGAAAUAAAGAUUUCCUCCCCUUUCGUCUAUGGCUUCAACUACAGUGAACAUGUCUUUCAUUAAACCCUUUCCUAUAUUAAGUAUUUAUAUAAUUAAUAAAUACCAAGAACAUUACAUGGUGUCAGAAGUGAACGUAAACAAGUGGACGAAUAUUAAAAAUGUCGCAGACGCCAGCAGCGAAGAAAAAAAUAAGAUCUGCAGACGACGGACACAUGGCGGUCGCUGAAGUUCACGGAAGAGCAGUCCGGGGAGAAGCCAGUCACGAAGCAACCUCAGUCAG